rnacentral:rRNA from 1 species
AGUGAACGCUGGCGGUAGGCCUAACACAUGCAAGUCGAACGGCAGCACAGUAAGAGCUUGCUCUUACGGGUGGCGAGUGGCGGACGGGUGAGGAAUACAUCGGAAUCUACUUUUUCGUGGGGGAUAACGUAGGGAAACUUACGCUAAUACCGCAUACGACCUACGGGUGAAAGCAGGGGAUCUUCGGACCUUUCGCGAUUGAAUGAGCCGAUGUCGGAUUAGCUAGUUGGCGGGGUAAAGGCCCACCAAGGCGACGAUCCGUAGCUGGUCUGAGAGGAUGAUCAGCCACACUGGAACGGAGACACGGUCCAGACUCCUACGGGAGGCAGCAGUGGGGAAUAUUGGACAAUGGGCGCAAGCCUGAUCCAGCCAUACCGCGUGGGUGAAGAAGGCCUUCGGGUUGUAAAGCCCUUUUGUUGGGAAAGAAAAGCAGCAGGUUAAUACCCCGCUGUUCUGACGGUACCCAAAGAAUAAGCACCGGCUAACUUCGUG